rnacentral:rRNA from 1 species
GGAAGAAGCUCAGUCGAGAUUCCUACGGGAGGCAGCAGUGGGGAAUAUUGCACAAUGGGCGAAAGCCUGAUGCAGCGACGCCGCGUGAGGGAUGACGGCCUUCGGGUUGUAAACCUCUUUCAGCAGGGACGAAGCGAGAGUGACGGUACCUGCAGAAGAAGCACCGGCCAACUACGUGCCAGCAGCCGCGGUAAUACGUAGGGUGCAAGCGUUGUCCGGAAUUACUGGGCGUAAAGAGCUCGUAGGCGGUUUGUCGCGUCGUCUGUGAAAACUCGAGGCUCAACCUCGAGCUUGCAGGCGAUACGGGCAGACUUGAGUACUGCAGGGGAGACUGGAAUUCCUGGUGUAGCGGUGAAAUGCGCAGAUAUCAGGAGGAACACCGGUGGCGAAGGCGGGUCUCUGGGCAGUAACUGACGCUGAGGAGCGAAAGCGUGGGUAGCGAACAGGAUUAGAUACCCUGGUAGUCCACGCCGUAAACGGUGGGCGCUAGGUGUGGGUUUCCUUCCACGGGAUCCGUGCCGUAGCUAACGCAUUUAGCGCCCCGCCUGGGGAGUACGGCCGCAAGGCUAAAACUCAAAGGAAUUGACGG